rnacentral:rRNA from 1 species
UACGUAGGGUGCAAGCGUUGUCCGGAAUUAUUGGGCGUAAAGAGCGUGUAGGCGGCCAGACAGGUCCGUUGUGAAAACUCGAGGCUUAACCUCGAGACGUCGAUGGAAACCGUCUGGCUAGAGUCCGGAAGAGGAGAGUGGAAUUCCUGGUGUAGCGGUGAAAUGCGCAGAUAUCAGGAAGAACACCCGUGGCGAAGGCGGCUCUCUGGGACGGUACUGACGCUGAGACGCGAAAGCGUGGGGAGCGAACAGG